GAUGAACGCUGGCGGCGUGCCUAAUACAUGCAAGUCGAGCGAACAGACGAGGAGCUUGCUCCUCUGACGUUAGCGGCGGACGGGUGAGUAACACGUGGAUAACCUACCUAUAAGACUGGGAUAACUUCGGGAAACCGGAGCUAAUACCGGAUAAUAUAUUGAACCGCAUGGUUCAAUAGUGAAAGACGGUUUUGCUGUCACUUAUAGAUGGAUCCGCGCCGCAUUAGCUAGUUGGUAAGGUAACGGCUUACCAAGGCAACGAUGCGUUGCCGAACUGAGAGAGUGAUCGGCCACACUGGAACUGGGACACGGUCCAGACUCCUACGGGAGGCAGCAGUAGGGAAUCUGCCGCAAUGGGCGAAAGCUUGACGGAACAACGCCGCGUGAGUGAUGAAGGUCUUCGGAUCGUAAAGCUCUGUUAUUAGGGAAGAACAAAUGUGUAAGUAACUAUGCACGUCUUGACGGUACCUAAUCAGAAAGCCACGGCUAACUACGUG
rnacentral:rRNA from 1 species